rnacentral:rRNA from 1 species
CCUACGGGCGGCAGCUGUGGGGAAUAUUGGACAAUGGGGGCAACCCUGAUCCAGCCAUGCCGCGUGUGUGAAGAAGGCCCUCGGGUUGUAAAGCACUUUCAGUGAGGAAGAACGCCUGGUGGUUAAUACCCAUCAGGAAAGACAUCACUCACAGAAGAAGCACCGGCUAACUCCGUGCCAGCAGCCGCGGUAAUACGGAGGGUGCGAGCGUUAAUCGGAAUUACUGGGCGUAAAGCGCGCGUAGGUGGCUUGAUAAGCCGGUUGUGAAAGCCCCGGGCUCAACCUGGGAACGGCAUCCGGAACUGUCAAGCUAGAGUGCAGGAGAGGAAGGUAGAAUUCCCGGUGUAGCGGUGAAAUGCGUAGAGAUCGGGAGGAAUACCAGUGGCGAAGGCGGCCUUCUGGACUGACACUGACACUGAGGUGCGAAAGCGUGGGUAGCAAACAGGAUUAGAUACCCCUGUAGUC